rnacentral:sRNA from 1 species
GCACUGUGUCAGAUAACAGCCUUUCAAAUUCCAGAGGAGAAGGCAAACCAGACCUCAAAUUUGGUGGCAAAUCCAAAGGAAAGUUAUGGCCGUUCAUCAAAAAAAAUAAGACUCAGUCUUUCUGUUUUCACAAAGAACUCAUGAAGAGGACGAUAGGGAAACCCACGUAUGCCUUUGAGGCUAGGGACUAUGUUGUAAGUUCACCUGUGAUGGCCAGGUCAUACAGUCAUGGCACAGCCACUAACCCCAUUCACAGCACCAAGACUGGGGACCCAGAGGCACUCGUUAUGCUUCCACACUACGAAAUGAAAUUCUUAAUUGAGAGAACUGGACA